rnacentral:rRNA from 1 species
GGUAUGGGAUGAGCUUGCGUCCGAUUAGCUAGUUGGCGGGGCAACGGCCCACCAAGGCGACGAUCGGUAGCCGGCCUGAGAGGGUGAUCGGCCACAUUGGGACUGAGAUACGGCCCAGACUCCUACGGGAGGCAGCAGUAGGGAAUAUUGCACAAUGGGGGAAACCCUGAUGCAGCAACGCCACGUGUGGGAAGAAGCAUUUCGGUGUGUAAACCACUGUCGUGAGGGAAUAAGGCGUCUUCUCGGAGGCGUUGAAUGUACCUCGAAAGGAAGCACCGGCAAACUUCGUGCCAGCAGCCGCGGUAAUACGAGGGGUGCAAGCGUUGUUCGGAAUCACUGGGCGUAAAGGGAGCGUAGGCGGAGAUGCAAGCGGACUGUACAAUACCGGGGCCCAACCCCGGGCCUGCAGUUCGGACUGCACCUCUUGGAUAGUUCAGGGGCAGGC